AAAGGCGACGAAGGCGAUGAAGCUCCUCCGUAGAAACCGAUGAAAAUCGCAGGAUUUCUUGAAAUUCCUCCAUAAAAUCGAGCUUAUUCAAGUUUUAUUUGUCCAAUUAAGCUGCAAAUCAGAGAUUAUUUGAUUAAAAUCGAGCUUUAUCAAGUUUAAAUCCGGAUGCAAGUUAAUUAGGUUUUCUCCAAAUUGAUGAUUCAAGUAUUAUCAGGCCUUAGGUAAGAGUACUUUGCAUAUGGUAGAUUGGUGUGUAACAUUGGAAAAUACAAAGUUCGCCAAUUUACAAUGACUAAAGAGCAGCAACGAAUUCAGGAUGAGCUGAACUUGUUGGGAAGAUUGUCACAUCCAAACUGCGCUCGUUUAUUAGGAUAUUGCUGGACUGAGGAGAAGUUUUAUUUAGUCUCUGAAUAUAUGCCCAAAGGAAGUUUGGAUAAUCAUAUUCUCAACGGUAGAGUUAGUUGGGACAUUUGUAUAAAGACAGCUUUAGUAGUAGCUCUCAAGGCCUUGCUGUUUUGAAUGCUAGUUGUUUAGACAAACCAUUCAUGUACCACUUCUUUAAACCCUCAAGAAUACUUCUUGAUCAGUUCUGGAAAUCCUCCAAGUUUUGGUUCGACACUCACAAAACAGGAAUUAUCUUAGACAAACCCGAAACUGUGGAAAAACAUGAAAUGAUCAAGAAGACAAUUCAAGAAAAUCCAGAGAUGGAGCGAAAACUUCAGGCCAUUCUAGAUGCUUUUAGUGAUGAGUAAGGUACAAAGAACUGUCACAUGUUAUAUAUGAGUUGUGGUACCUGUUUUCUGCUGUUCCUUUCUCUACAACUGUAAAUUCAGGUUGGUGAUGCUAUGUGCUUCCUUGCUUCCUGCUGGGCUAAUGUGCCUUGUUUCUACUAUAUGCUGCAAACUUUGAAUUUUAUUUAAAUUGCAGUAAUCAGACCAAGUGUUAUUGUGGUCUUAUUUUUUAUUUCUAGCUUGGGCAUCAGACAAUUGGUUGUGGUAGUUUUAAUCAUGGGCCAUUGUUGUAGAUUUGGAUUAUGUGAAAUGAA